rnacentral:lncRNA from 1 species
UGAUUAUCAGAGGCAAAUAUCUCAGAGAGUUAUAAUUAGAAGAAAUUGAGCAGAGGGUGGGGGAAGGGGAUAUUGUUUCAGAAAUAAUUCUGAGUCACUGGAUCAGGUUUCUCAAUGUGGAACAUGCCAUGAAAAUAUUCUCUUACAUCAAGAAUUAGAAUCACUUCCUGCAACUCCUAUGUGUCUUUAUAAUUAGUAACUGUUUGGUGAGUAAUUGUGGUGAUGAAUUGUUUUUCAUUCUAUGGCGAGGAUGAAAAGGACACUUUCUUUGCUUCUUCACCUCUGCCCCACAAUGGAGAGCGGCAGCGCCUCUGAAGGCAAGGGGAGUGGGGUUUCCGAAUCCCCAGGAGAAAACACAGGUCUCUGCUGCGGCGGUCUGGUCCAGAGAACCUACAUCCGGAGGCUUUCAUUUCCUCAUCUGUACCAUCUCCCAAACAGACAUUUCUGAGAGUGAAAAGAGGCACCAUUAGAAUUAGCCUGGGUUAGCCAGAAAGGAGGUGGUCUUGGGCAAAACUAGAUGUGAUGCGAUCCCAGGGGACUCUAGGGUCUCUCCCAGCUGAGACAUCCUAAAUUAUGAAAAUGCAAGGCCCAUUCUGUAUCCCACAAGGGCCUGAGUAAGCUCCGUGAGCCAUCAUAAGCUGCCAACCUUUAGCUGCACAAGAGAAAUGAACUCUGUAGGGGACAUAUCCAAUUCCGAUUUAAAUUUAAUCUGUGUGGUCAAUUAUUUGUGUAAUAAUGGAGGAAAAUAAAGUCUAUUUCACAAAAGUCAACUCUGUAAUUUUAGAGCCUUUAAGACAUUUGAAAAUGCCUUGUGCAAUUAUGUGGCGCUUAAUACUCAGAUAAUGGAACAAUGAAAGAUGUAUGUUUGCAUUUUGUAAAAUUAAACUGUAUGCAGUUAUUUAUCUUUUACCUUAAUUGUUUGAGCUUGUUUCUAAUGUAAACUGUUGUAAUUUUAAAUAAAUAUAAUAGAAAAAACUUUCAUAGGUAUCAAGAAUCCAGAGUAAAUUUACUUUGCAAAUAGGCUUUGUAGGUAUGUUUUAUGCUGAGGAUCUUAAACUGAC